rnacentral:rRNA from 1 species
UACAGAGGGUGCGAGCGUUAAUCGGAAUUACUGGGCGUAAAGCGUGCGUAGACGGUUAUCUAAGUCGGAUGUGAAAGCCCCGGGCUCAACCUGGGAAUUGCAUUCGAGACUGAAUAGCUAGGGUACGGUAGAGGGAAGUGGAAUUUCCGGUGUAGCGGUGAAAUGCGUAGAUAUCGGAAGAACAUCAGUGGCGAAAGCGACUUCCUGGACCAGUACCGACGUUCAGGCCACGAAAGCCGUGGGGAGCAAACAGG